UACGUAGGGGGCUAGCGUUGUCCGGAUUUAUUGGGCGUAAAGAGCGUGUAGGCGGCCUGGUAGGUCUGCUGUGAAAACUCGAGGCUCAACCUCGAGAUGUCGGCGGAAACCAUCUGGCUAGAGUCCGGAAGAGGAGAGUGGAAUUCCUGGUGUAGCGGUGAAAUGCGCAGAUAUCAGGAAGAACACCUAUGGCGAAGGCAGCUCUCUGGGACGGUACUGACGCUGAGGCGCGAAAGCUAGGGGAGCAAACGGG
rnacentral:rRNA from 1 species